rnacentral:rRNA from 1 species
AUAGAGUUUGAUCCUGGCUCAGAUUGAACGCUGGCGGCAGGCCUAACACAUGCAAGUCGAGCGGAAACGAGUUAUCUGAACCUUCGGGGAACGAUAACGGCGUCGAGCGGCGGACGGGUGAGUAAUGCCUAGGAAAAUGCCUUGAUGUGGGGGAUAACCAUUGGAAACGAUGGCUAAUACCGCAUAAUGCCUACGGACCAAAGAGGGGGACCUUCGGGCCUCUCGCGUCAAGAUAAGCCUAGGUGGGAUUAGCUAGUUGGUGAGGUAAUGGCUCACCAAGGCGACGAUCCCUAGCUGGUCUGAGAGGAUGAUCAGCCACACUGGAACUGAGACACGGUCCAGACUCCUACGGGAGGCAGCAGUGGGGAAUAUUGCACAAUGGGCGCAAGCCUGAUGCAGCCAUGCCGCGUGUAUGAAGAAGGCCUUCGGGUUGUAAAGCACUUUCAGCAGUGAGGAAGGGGG